rnacentral:rRNA from 1 species
UGCAAGUCGAACGAGACGGGAUGGAAUGACCCUUCGGGGGAAUGAAAUCCUAGAAAGUGGCGAACGGGUGAGUAACGCGUGGGUAACCUGCCCUAUGGAAAGGAAUAGCCUCGGGAAACUGGGAGUAAUGCCUUAUAAUAUACGAGAGUCGCAUGGCUUUUGUAUUAAACGCUCCGGUGCCAUAGGAUGGACCCGCGUCCCAUUAGCUAGUUGGUGAGAUAACAGCCCACCAAGGCAACGAUGGGUAACCGGUCUGAGAGGGCGAACGGUCACACUGGAACUGAGACACGGUCCAGACUCCUACGGGAGGCAGCAGUGGGGAAUAUUGCGCAAUGGGGGCAACCCUGACGCAGCAAUACCGCGUGAGUGAAGAAGGUUUUCGGAUCGUAAAGCUCUGUUAUUGGGGAAGAAAAAAGACGGUACCCAAGAAGAAAGUCCCGGCUAACUACGUGCCAGCAGCCGCGGUAAUACGUAGGGGACAAGCGUUGUCCGGAUUUACUGGGCGUAAAGGGCACGCAGGCGGUUUUUUAAGUCAGAUGUGAAAGGUACCGGCUCAACCGGUGACAUGCAUUUGAAACUGAAAGACUUGAGUAUUGGAGAGGCAAGUGGAAUUCCUAGUGUAGCGGUGAAAUGCGUAGA